CGUCAGAUAGCUCAGUGGUCUAGAGCAGCCGCCCGGCAAGCGAAAGACCCGGGUUCGAUUCCCGGUCUAGCGA
rfam:Harpegnathos saltator strain R22 G/1 HarSal_1.0_3.contig4322, whole genome shotgun sequence.